rnacentral:lncRNA from 1 species
CCCUAUACCCGGGUCUGAGUGUAGCCUAGAAGUAGAGGGGUUGUGUAGCAGUGUCAUUUAGGACAUACUUCCUGUUUGGCUAUCGUCAGAACCUCAACUAGAGUCUACUCUCUUCAUUUGUCUCUCUGCAUCUAGUUGAUUACUCGACUGUUGUGGAGACGUUGUGAAGGGGGCCAUAGCUCUAGUGACCUUUGAUCUUUAGGCUCAAGGAACCAUCCUUGUGAGGUUGCAUGUACCUAACCUUGGACCUUAAGCGUUGAACCUUCGUUAGGGCACAAAGGGAGAUGUGUGCAGUCUUAU